UACGGAGGAUCCGAGCGUUAUCCGGAAUCAUUGGGUUUAAAGGGUCCGUAGGCGGGUUAGUAAGUCAGUGGUGAAAUCCGGCAGCUUAACUGUCGAAUUGCCGUUGAUACUGCUAAUCUUGAAUUACUGUGAAGUGGUUAGAAUAUGUAGUGUAGCGGUGAAAUGCUUAGAUAUUACAUGGAAUACCAAUUGCGAAGGCAGAUCACUAACAGUAUAUUGACGCUGAUGGACGAAAGCGUGGGGAGCAAACAGGAUUAGAUACCCGU
rnacentral:rRNA from 1 species